rnacentral:rRNA from 1 species
UACAGAGGGUGCGAGCGUUGUCCGGAAUCACUGGGCGUAAAGGGCGCGUAGGUGGCGGCCCAAGUCUGUGGUGAAAGCUCGCCGCUUAACGGCGAGUCGGCCACGGAGACUGGGUGGCUCGAGCACUGUAGGGGCAGAUGGAAUUCCGGGUGUAGCGGUGGAAUGCGUAGAGAUCCGGAAGAACACCAGUGGCGAAGGCGGUCUGCUGGGCAGUUGCUGACACUGAGGAGCGAAAGCAUGGGUAGCGAACAGG